AGCCGGCGUGGCUAACAGAUGCAAGUCUAACGGAUAUAUUUAUGAAGCUUGGGAUUUAAAUACUUAGUGCCGGACGGGUGUGUAACGCGAGAGCAUCCUACCCAUAAGAGGGGGAUAACAGUUGGAAACGACUGCUAAUACCGCAUAAGCAGGCUGGUACUCAUGUACCGCUUAGUAAAGUUGGCCUCUGAAUAUGCUAUCACUUAUGGAUGGGCUCGCGUCUGAUUAGCUAGUUGGUGGCGUAACGGCCAACCAAGGCGUCGAUCAGUACCCGGCCUGAGAGGGUGGACGGCCACACUGCGACUGAGACACGGCCCAGACUCCUACGGGCGGCAGCAGUGGGGAAUAUUGCGCAUUGGGGGUUUCCCUGACGGAGCGACGCCGCGUGGGCCAAGAAGGCCUUAGGGUUGUAGAGCUCUGUUUUCAGGAAAGAACGUCGCGGGUAAUAAUUCGAUCCGCGUAUGACGGUACCUGAAGAGGGAGCCCCGGCAAACUACGUGCG
rnacentral:rRNA from 1 species